UUAAGCGACUAAGCGUACACGGUGGAUGCCCUGGCAGUCAGAGGCGAUGAAGGACGUGCUAAUCUGCGAAAAGCGUCGGUAAGGUGAUAUGAACCGUUAUAGCCGGCGAUGUCCGAAUGGGGAAACCCAGUGCAAUUCGUUGCACUAUCGUUAACUGAAUACAUAGGUUAACGAGGCGAACCGGGGGAACUGAAACAUCUAAGUACCCCGAGGAAAAGAAAUCAACCGAGAUUCCCCCAGUAGCGGCGAGCGAACGGGGAGCAGCCCAGAGUCUGAAUCAGCUUGUGUGUUAGUGGAACGGUCUGGAAAGUCCGACGGUACAGGGUGAUAGUCCCGUACACCAAAAUGCACAGGUUGUGAACUCGAAGAGUAGGGCGGGACACGUGGUAUCCUGUCUGAAUAUGGGGGGACCAUCCUCCAAGGCUAAAUACUCCUGACUGACCGAUAGUGAACCAGUACCGUGAGGGAAAGGCGAAAAGAACCCCGGCGAGGGGAGUGAAAAAGAACCUGAAACCGUGUACGUACAAGCAGUGGGAGCACCUUCGGGUGUGACUGCGUACCUUUUGUAUAAUGGGUCAGCGACUUAUAUUCUGUAGCAAGGUUAACCGUAUAGGGGAGCCGCAGGGAAACCGAGUCUUAACUGGGCGUUAAGUUGCAGGGUAUAGACCCGAAACCCGGUGAUCUAGCCAUGGGCAGGUUGAAGGUUGGGUAACACUAACUGGAGGACCGAACCGACUAAUGUUGAAAAAUUAGCGGAUGACUUGUGGCUGGGGGUGAAAGGCCAAUCAAACCGGGAGAUAGCUGGUUCUCCCCGAAAGCUAUUUAGGUAGCGCCUCGUGAACUCAUCUUCGGGGGUAGAGCACUGUUUCGGCUAGGGGGUCAUCCCGACUUACCAACCCGAUGCAAACUACGAAUACCGAAGAAUGUUAUCACGGGAGACACACGGCGGGUGCUAACGUCCGUCGUGAAGAGGGAAACAACCCAGACCGCCAGCUAAGGUCCCAAAGUCAUGGUUAAGUGGGAAACGAUGUGGGAAGGCACAGACAGCCAGGAUGUUGGCUUAGAAGCAGCCAUCAUUUAAAGAAAGCGUAAUAGCUCACUGGUCGAGUCGGCCUGCGCGGAAGAUGUAACGGGGCUAAACCAUGCACCGAAGCUGCGGCAGCGACACUAUGUGUUGUUGGGUAGGGGAGCGUUCUGUAAGCCUGCGAAGGUGUGCUGUGAGGCAUGCUGGAGGUAUCAGAAGUGCGAAUGCUGACAUAAGUAACGAUAAAGCGGGUGAAAAGCCCGCUCGCCGGAAGACCAAGGGUUCCUGUCCAACGUUAAUCGGGGCAGGGUGAGUCGACCCCUAAGGCGAGGCCGAAAGGCGUAGUCGAUGGGAAACAGGUUAAUAUUCCUGUACUUGGUGUUACUGCGAAGGGGGGACGGAGAAGGCUAUGUUAGCCGGGCGACGGUUGUCCCGGUUUAAGCAUGUAGGCUGGUUGUCCAGGCAAAUCCGGAUAAUCAAGGCUGAGGUGUGAUGACGAGGCACUACGGUGCUGAAGUAACAAAUGCCCUGCUUCCAGGAAAAGCCUCUAAGCAUCAGGUAACAUCAAAUCGUACCCCAAACCGACACAGGUGGUCAGGUAGAGAAUACCAAGGCGCUUGAGAGAACUCGGGUGAAGGAACUAGGCAAAAUGGUGCCGUAACUUCGGGAGAAGGCACGCUGGUGUGUAGGUGAAGCCCCUGCGGGUGGAGCUGAGACCAGUCGAAGAUACCAGCUGGCUGCAACUGUUUAUUAAAAACACAGCACUGUGCAAACACGAAAGUGGACGUAUACGGUGUGACGCCUGCCCGGUGCCGGAAGGUUAAUUGAUGGGGUUAUCCGUAAGGAGAAGCUCUUGAUCGAAGCCCCGGUAAACGGCGGCCGUAACUAUAACGGUCCUAAGGUAGCGAAAUUCCUUGUCGGGUAAGUUCCGACCUGCACGAAUGGCGUAAUGAUGGCCAGGCUGUCUCCACCCGAGACUCAGUGAAAUUGAACUCGCUGUGAAGAUGCAGUGUACCCGCGGCAAGACGGAAAGACCCCGUGAACCUUUACUAUAGCUUGACACUGAACAUUGAGCCUUGAUGUGUAGGAUAGGUGGGAGGCUUUGAAGCGUGGACGCCAGUCUGCGUGGAGCCAACCUUGAAAUACCACCCUUUAAUGUUUGAUGUUCUAACGUUGGCCCCUGACCGGGGUUGCGGACAGUGUCUGGUGGGUAGUUUGACUGGGGCGGUCUCCUCCCAAAGCGUAACGGAGGAGCACGAAGGUUAGCUAAUCCUGGUCGGACAUCAGGAGGUUAGUGCAAUGGCAUAAGCUAGCUUGACUGCGAGCGUGACGGCGCGAGCAGGUGCGAAAGCAGGUCAUAGUGAUCCGGUGGUUCUGAAUGGAAGGGCCAUCGCUCAACGGAUAAAAGGUACUCCGGGGAUAACAGGCUGAUACCGCCCAAGAGUUCAUAUCGACGGCGGUGUUUGGCACCUCGAUGUCGGCUCAUCACAUCCUGGGGCUGAAGUAGGUCCCAAGGGUAUGGCUGUUCGCCAUUUAAAGUGGUACGCGAGCUGGGUUUAGAACGUCGUGAGACAGUUCGGUCCCUAUCUGCCGUGGGCGCUGGAGAAUUGAGGGGGGCUGCUCCUAGUACGAGAGGACCGGAGUGGACGCAUCACUGGUGUUCGGGUUGUCAUGCCAAUGGCACUGCCCGGUAGCUAAAUGCGGAAGAGAUAAGUGCUGAAAGCAUCUAAGCACGAAACUUGCCCCGAGAUGAGUUCUCCCUGAGACUUUAAGUCUCCUGAAGGAACGUUGAAGACGACGACGUUGAUAGGCCGGGUGUGUAAGCGCAGCGAUGCGUUGAGCUAACCGGUACUAAUGAACCGUGAGGCUUAACCUU
rnacentral:rRNA from 2 species